GGGUUGUGAGGUUAAGCGACUAAGCGUACACGGUGGAUGCCCUGGCAGUCAGAGGCGAUGAAGGGCGUGCUAAUCUGCGAUAAGCGCCGGUAAGGUGAUAUGAACCGUUAUAACCGGCGAUACCCGAAUGGGGAAACCCAGUGUGAUUCGUCACACUAUCAUUAACUGAAUCCAUAGGUUAAUGAGGCGAACCGGGGGAACUGAAACAUCUAAGUACCCCGAGGAAAAGAAAUCAACCGAGAUUCCCCCAGUAGCGGCGAGCGAACGGGGAGGAGCCCAGAGCCUGAAUCAGCAUGUGUGUUAGUGGAAGCGUCUGGAAAGGCGCGCGAUACAGGGUGACAGCCCCGUACACAAAAGCGCAUGUGCUGUGAGCUCGAUGAGUAGGGCGGGACACGUGGUAUCCUGUCUGAAUAUGGGGGGACCAUCCUCCAAGGCUAAAUACUCCUGACUGACCGAUAGUGAACCAGUACCGUGAGGGAAAGGCGAAAAGAACCCCGGCGAGGGGAGUGAAAAAGAACCUGAAACCGUGUACGUACAAGCAGUGGGAGCACCCUUUGGGUGUGACUGCGUACCUUUUGUAUAAUGGGUCAGCGACUUAUAUUCUGUAGCAAGGUUAACCGAAUAGGGGAGCCGGAGGGAAACCGAGUCUUAAUUGGGCGUUAAGUUGCAGGGUAUAGACCCGAAACCCGGUGAUCUAGCCAUGGGCAGGUUGAAGGUUGGGUAACACUAACUGGAGGACCGAACCGACUAAUGUUGAAAAAUUAGCGGAUGACCUGUGGCUGGGGGUGAAAGGCCAAUCAAACCGGGAGAUAGCUGGUUCUCCCCGAAAGCUAUUUAGGUAGCGCCUCGUGAAUUCAUCUCCGGGGGUAGAGCACUGUUUCGGCUAGGGGGCCAUCCCGGCUUACCAACCCGAUGCAAACUGCGAAUACCGGAGAAUGUUAUCACGGGAGACACACGGCGGGUGCUAACGUCCGUCGUGAAGAGGGAAACAACCCAGACCGCCAGCUAAGGUCCCAAAGUCAUGGUUAAGUGGGAAACGAUGUGGGAAGGCCCAGACAGCCAGGAUGUUGGCUUAGAAGCAGCCAUCAUUUAAAGAAAGCGUAAUAGCUCACUGGUCGAGUCGGCCUGCGCGGAAGAUGUAACGGGGCUAAACCAUGCACCGAAGCUGCGGCAGCGACACUGUGUGUUGUUGGGUAGGGGAGCGUUCUGUAAGCCUGUGAAGGUGUGUCGUGAGGCAUGCUGGAGGUAUCAGAAGUGCGAAUGCUGACAUAAGUAACGAUAAAGCGGGUGAAAAGCCCGCUCGCCGGAAGACCAAGGGUUCCUGUCCAACGUUAAUCGGGGCAGGGUGAGUCGACCCCUAAGGCGAGGCCGAAAGGCGUAGUCGAUGGGAAACGGGUUAAUAUUCCCGUACUUGGUGUUACUGCGAAGGGGGGACGGAGAAGGCUAUGUUGGCCGGGCGACGGUUGUCCCGGUUUAAGCGUGUAGGUGUGUGUUCCAGGUAAAUCCGGUUCACUUUAACACUGAGGCGUGACGACGAGGCACUACGGUGCUGAAGCAACAAAUGCCCUGCUUCCAGGAAAAGCCUCUAAGCAUCAGGUAACAUCAAAUCGUACCCCAAACCGACACAGGUGGUCAGGUAGAGAAUACCAAGGCGCUUGAGAGAACUCGGGUGAAGGAACUAGGCAAAAUGGUGCCGUAACUUCGGGAGAAGGCACGCUGACACGUAGGUGAAGUGAUUUACUCAUGGAGCUGAAGUCAGUCGAAGAUACCAGCUGGCUGCAACUGUUUAUUAAAAACACAGCACUGUGCAAACACGAAAGUGGACGUAUACGGUGUGACGCCUGCCCGGUGCCGGAAGGUUAAUUGAUGGGGUCAGCGCAAGCGAAGCUCCUGAUCGAAGCCCCGGUAAACGGCGGCCGUAACUAUAACGGUCCUAAGGUAGCGAAAUUCCUUGUCGGGUAAGUUCCGACCUGCACGAAUGGCGUAAUGAUGGCCAGGCUGUCUCCACCCGAGACUCAGUGAAAUUGAACUCGCUGUGAAGAUGCAGUGUACCCGCGGCAAGACGGAAAGACCCCGUGAACCUUUACUAUAGCUUGACACUGAACAUUGAGCCUUGAUGUGUAGGAUAGGUGGGAGGCUUUGAAGUGUGGACGCCAGUCUGCAUGGAGCCGACCUUGAAAUACCACCCUUUAAUGUUUGAUGUUCUAACGUGGACCCGUUACCCGGGUUGCGGACAGUGUCUGGUGGGUAGUUUGACUGGGGCGGUCUCCUCCUAAAGAGUAACGGAGGAGCACGAAGGUUGGCUAAUCCUGGUCGGACAUCAGGAGGUUAGUGCAAUGGCAUAAGCCAGCUUGACUGCGAGCGUGACGGCGCGAGCAGGUGCGAAAGCAGGUCAUAGUGAUCCGGUGGUUCUGAAUGGAAGGGCCAUCGCUCAACGGAUAAAAGGUACUCCGGGGAUAACAGGCUGAUACCGCCCAAGAGUUCAUAUCGACGGCGGUGUUUGGCACCUCGAUGUCGGCUCAUCACAUCCUGGGGCUGAAGUAGGUCCCAAGGGUAUGGCUGUUCGCCAUUUAAAGUGGUACGCGAGCUGGGUUUAGAACGUCGUGAGACAGUUCGGUCCCUAUCUGCCGUGGGCGCUGGAGAACUGAGGGGGGCUGCUCCUAGUACGAGAGGACCGGAGUGGACGCAUCACUGGUGUUCGGGUUGUCAUGCCAAUGGCACUGCCCGGUAGCUAAAUGCGGAAGAGAUAAGUGCUGAAAGCAUCUAAGCACGAAACUUGCCCCGAG
rnacentral:rRNA from 1 species